rnacentral:tRNA from 1 species
GCCCGAGUGGCGGAAUGGUAGACGCAGGGGAUUCAAAAUCCCCCGCUGCAAGGCGUGUCGGUUCGAGUCCGACCUCGGGUACCA